rnacentral:lncRNA from 1 species
AUACGUCGUCACCCAUAGAAACGGCUUUCCGCGGGGCAGACUCCAAGUCUCGCCUGUGUGAGCGGGCAGGGGUAGCAGGAAAGGCUGUUUUUCAUUUCCAAGAGAAAACCGUCACCCCGCCCACCUCGAACCUCCUCCCAACAUCUCAGGAUAGAAACGCCGCGCUCAGCCAUGUAAGAUGUGCCUGCUUCCCCUUCGCCUUCUACCAUGAUUGUAAGUUUCCUGAAGCCUCCCCAGCCAUGCUUCCUGUACAGCCUGAAGAACUGUGAGCCAAGUAAACCUCUUUUCUUUAUAAAUUA